CUGUUUUUUUUCAGCAAACAGAAAAAACUUUUAUUCAUCAUUCAUUCAUUCAGUUAAUACGAUAAUGAAAUAAUGGAAGUUAGUGGAAAUCGAUACUUUUUUUUCCACACAGACACAAAACCAGAAAUCCAUGUAAAUUGGCGUUAACAACAACAUGAUGGUUUGAUGAUGAUGAUCAUGAGUGUUGAUCUUAGUGAUCACCACUAUCACCACUCAUCAUUUACCUUUUUUUUCUGUGCCGCACCUUUUUCAGAGGUCUUUUUUUUAUCAUUUUAUCAAAAUUUUAUCAAAUGACCAAUUCGAUGCUAAUGUUUUAAUGGUUAAUCUUGAGCGGUAUUUUUCAUUUCUUCAUUUCUUGUCACUCGUACACCUGUGUGUGUGUGGAUCAGUCUUUUUUUGGAAAAUUGACAAGAAACAAAACAAAAAAAAAUUUCUAGAUUAUCAAAUUAAAUUAAGAGAUGCAAUUUCUUUAUCUCUCAA